GGCUAAACCAUGCACCGAAGCUGCGGCAGCGACACUCAGGUGUUGUUGGGUAGGGGAGCGUUCUGUAAGCCUGUGAAGGUGGCCUGUGAGGGUUGCUGGAGGUAUCAGAAGUGCGAAUGCUGACAUAAGUAACGAUAAAGCGGGUGAAAAGCCCGCUCGCCGGAAGACCAAGGGUUCCUGUCCAACGUUAAUCGGGGCAGGGUGAGUCGACCCCUAAGGCGAGGCCGAAAGGCGUAGUCGAUGGGAAACGGGUUAAUAUUCCCGUACUUGGUGUUACUGCGAAGGGGGGACGGAGAAGGCUAUGUUGGCCGGGCGACGGUUGUCCCGGUUUAAGCGUGUAGGCUGGUUUUCCAGGCAAAUCCGGAAAAUCAAGGCUGAGGCGUGAUGACGAGGCACUACGGUGCUGAAGCAACAAAUGCCCUGCUUCCAGGAAAAGCCUCUAAGCAUCAGGUAACAUCAAAUCGUACCCCAAACCGACACAGGUGGUCAGGUAGAGAAUACCAAGGCGCUUGAGAGAACUCGGGUGAAGGAACUAGGCAAAAUGGUGCCGUAACUUCGGGAGAAGGCACGCUGACACGUAGGUGAAGUGAUUUACUCACGGAGCUGAAGUCAGUCGAAGAUACCAGCUGGCUGCAACUGUUUAUUAAAAACACAGCACUGUGCAAACACGAAAGUGGACGUAUACGGUGUGACGCCUGCCCGGUGCCGGAAGGUUAAUUGAUGGGGUCAGCGCAAGCGAAGCUCCUGAUCGAAGCCCCGGUAAACGGCGGCCGUAACUAUAACGGUCCUAAGGUAGCGAAAUUCCUUGUCGGGUAAGUUCCGACCUGCACGAAUGGCGUAAUGAUGGCCAGGCUGUCUCCACCCGAGACUCAGUGAAAUUGAACUCGCUGUGAAGAUGCAGUGUACCCGCGGCAAGACGGAAAGACCCCGUGAACCUUUACUAUAGCUUGACACUGAACAUUGAGCCUUGAUGUGUAGGAUAGGUGGGAGGCUUUGAAGUGUGGACGCCAGUCUGCAUGGAGCCGACCUUGAAAUACCACCCUUUAAUGUUUGAUGUUCUAACGUGGACCCGUAAUCCGGGUUGCGGACAGUGUCUGGUGGGUAGUUUGACUGGGGCGGUCUCCUCCUAAAGAGUAACGGAGGAGCACGAAGGUUGGCUAAUCCUGGUCGGACAUCAGGAGGUUAGUGCAAUGGCAUAAGCCAGCUUGACUGCGAGCGUGACGGCGCGAGCAGGUGCGAAAGCAGGUCAUAGUGAUCCGGUGGUUCUGAAUGGAAGGGCCAUCGCUCAACGGAUAAAAGGUACUCCGGGGAUAACAGGCUGAUACCGCCCAAGAGUUCAUAUCGACGGCGGUGUUUGGCACCUCGAUGUCGGCUCAUCACAUCCUGGGGCUGAAGUAGGUCCCAAGGGUAUGGCUGUUCGCCAUUUAAAGUGGUACGCGAGCUGGGUUUAGAACGUCGUGAGACAGUUCGGUCCCUAUCUGCCGUGGGCGCUGGAGAACUGAGGGGGGCUGCUCCUAGUACGAGAGGACCGGAGUGGACGCAUCACUGGUGUUCGGGUUGUCAUGCCAAUGGCACUGCCCGGUAGCUAAAUGCGGAAGAGAUAAGUGCUGAAAGCAUCUAAGCACGAAACUUGCCCCGAGAUGAGUUCUCCCUGAGACUUAAAGUCUCCUGAAGGAACGUUGAAGACGACGACGUUGAUAGGCCGGGUGUGUAAGCGCAGCGAUGCGUUGAGCUAACCGGUACUAAUGAACCGUGAGGCUUAACCUU
rnacentral:rRNA from 1 species